CGGUCCAUACUCCUACGGGAGGCAGCAGUGAGGAAUAUUGCGCAAUGGGGGCAACCUGACGCAGCAACGCCGCGUGGAUGAUGAAGGCCUUCGGGUUGUAAAAUCCUUUUCCGGGGGCAAGAAUCAUGACGGUACCUCGGGAAUAAGUCCCGGCUAACUACGUGCUAGCAGCCGCGGUAAAACGUAGGGGCAGAGCGUAAUCCGGAUUUACUGGGCGUAAAGCGCACGUAGACGGCGCUGUAAGUUGGGCGUGAAAGCUCCCGGCUCAACUGGGAGAAGUCGUUCAAAACUGCAGUGCUUGAGGUUGGAAGAGGAGAGUGGAAUUCCCGGUGUAGUGGUGGAAUGCGUAGAUAUCGGGAGGAACACCAGUGGCGAAGGCGGCUCUCUGGUCCAACCCUGACGCUGAGGUGCGAAAGCGUGGGGAGCGAACGGGAUUAGAUACCCCGGUAGUCCACGCUGUAAACGAUGGAUACUAGGUGUGGGAGGUUACUUACCCCUUCCGUGCCGUAGCUAACGUGAUAAGUAUCCCGCCUGGGGACUACGGCCGCAAGGUUAAAACUCAAAGGAAUUGACGGGGGCCCGCACAAGCAGCGGAGCGUGUGGUUUAAUUCGAUGAUACGCGAAGAACCUUACCUGGGCUUGACAUGUUGGUAGUAGUGAAGCGAAAGCGGAUCGACCCUUCGGGGAGCCAUCACAGGUGCUGCAUGGCUGUCGUCAGCUCGUGUCGUGAGAUGUUGGGUUAAGUCCCGCAACGAGCGCAACCCUUGUCGUUAGUUACAUGUGUCUAGCGAGACUGCCGGUACCAAACCGGAGGAAGGUGGGGAUGACGUCAAGUCAGCAUGGUCUUUAUGUCCAGGGCUACACACACGCUACAAUGGCCGGUACAAUAGGUUGCCACACCGCGAGGUGGAGCUAAUCCCCAAAGCCGGUCUCAGUUCGGAUUGUAGUCUGCAACUCGACUGCAUGAAGGCGGAGUUGCUAGUAACCGCGCGUCAGCAAUAGUGCGGUGAAUGCGUUCCCGGGCCUUGUACACACCGCCCGUCACAUCACGGAAGUCGGUAACACCUGAAGUCGGCGACCCAACCGCAAGGAGGGAGCUGCCUAAGGUG
rnacentral:rRNA from 1 species